AGAAAACAACAGGAGAAAAUGCAGAACUGAAACCCAAGAGGAAGGGAUGGAUGCACAAGGAAAUGAAAGGAACACUAAGGAGAGACAUCAGCAAAAGUAAAAAAAUGAAAAAGAAAGCAGGAAGAUACGACGGCAGAGCAUUAUGAAAUAAAAGGAGAUGGAGAAGGAAAUUAUAUUAAAAAGCGAAAGGAAGUAUGACCCAAGUCUUCCUUCCUUCCCUGCCUGGAUCCCUUGUUGACGUCCGUUGGGAUGGGAGAACCAGACCGAGGCGAUCCCAUUGAGGAAUCAAUGAUACAUCAUCCUUAAGAAAGGCAAGAGUCAAUGGACCCCGCUCGAGGCCCAACGCACAUACCCCUGAAGUUAACCGUGCUCAUCAUUUUGGGACUCGACACCCAACCGACACUGAGAAAUGGCAGCUUUCAGUUAAACAAACGCAAAGCUGUAUUUAGGCUCUCUCGCAACAUUGUGAUGAGAAGAAAUGAAAGCGUCUUCGGCUGCUAUUUUUAAAAUACUCACCAGGGCAAUUCCAUCAGAAAUACGAUACCUUACGAUAGCUUUUAUAUUUUGAUCCUUUCUUUUCAAGAGUAACAUGUGGGAGAAACCCCGGAUCCAAUGAAACCGAUUUAAAAAAGUCGAUUUGAACAAAUGCUGCUGUGCUGUUAGAGUUAUUAAAAAAAAUUCUCAGGGGCGCCUGGGUGGCGCAGUCGGUUAAGCG